rnacentral:rRNA from 1 species
GAUGAACGCUGACAGCAUGCUUAACACAUGCAAGUCAACUGUGGCGGACGGGUGAGUAACGCGUAAAGAACUUGCCUCACAGAUAGGGACAACAUUUGGAAACGAAUGCUAAUACCUGAUACUGUGAGAGAGCUUUGCGUCCCAUUAGCUAGUUGGAGAGGUAACUGCUCACCAAGGCGAGGAUGGGUAGCCGGCCUGAGAGGGUGGUCGGCCACAAGGGGACUGAGACACGGCGCUUACGCCUACGGGGGGCAGCAGUGGGGAAUAUUGGACAAUGGACCAAAGUCUGAGCCGGCAAUGCUGUGUGCACGAUGAAGUUUUCGGAAUGUAAAGUGCUUUCAGUUGGGAAGCAGUACCAACAGAAGAAGUGACGGCUAAAUACGUGCCAGCAGCCGCGGUAAUUC